CUAAACACAAGGAAAAAGACAACAAUAUAUUCUAUCAUUAAGUAGAGACCUAUUGGUUGGUGAAAAAUAGGAAUGAUGAAUAUAUUUAUCCCUUUGGAGUGGCAAUCUGAACGAAAGUAAGAAAGACGGUUCAUCCUCGUUAUGGAUGAAAGAGGGCAUACAUUUUUUGUAUGAACUAAGGUGGUACCGCGUUAAUCAAACGUCCUUAGA
rnacentral:ncRNA from 1 species